CCAACUAGAGAAAUACAUAUGGUGUCAAAGCGGGGGAUCUGAAGGAAUCUGUGGAUGAUGGAAAUAAGAGAUCAAGUGCGGUUCCAGAAAGAUUGUGUUAGAUAUUGCCUACUUGAACCACUCAGACCCAACGCAGUUACAGCAUAAAAUCAAUCUGCCAAGCUCUAAUCUACACGCAAAUAAAAAACUGAACCACAUUUAUGCUAACCUCAAGUAAUUCUAAACUACAUGCCAUCUAAACAUCUUGUCUCUUGCUUCUGAUAGCAAGCCAUUUCUCACAAGCUGACCCAGCAUGUCCCGUUUGGUGCAACCGAUACUGUGCCAAUUUUGUUAUGCCGGACGAUUGGAUCUAGUGGAGGAUGACAGUGGCUCAUGGGAAUGUAAAUUCGACGGCAGCAAACAGAAGCAAGUGGUGUGCAAGAUGAUGAGGAUGAAAAUGGAGUCUGUGGGGGAGAGAGAGCAUG
rnacentral:lncRNA from 1 species